rnacentral:piRNA from 1 species
UGUGCUCUGUCCUUCCUAUUAAAGGCGGGAU